rnacentral:tRNA from 1 species
GAUGACUUCGGUCACGACGGUAUGGCGAGCUUUCGCCGUCCACGUUUCUCUUUCUUCAAGAAGACAAAAAACCGCGUCGACCGGUUCCCCGAAUGGGCCCGUAGCUCAGUUGGUUAGAGCACACGCUUGAUAAGCGUGGGGUCGGAAGUUCAAGUCUUCCCGGGCCCACCAUUUGCACCAGCAAAUGAAAUUUGCUGUAGCGAAUGAGGGUUAGGGAUGAUGGAAUGUUGGUGAUGCGGAUUGUUGCCGAACCUGGGCUUGUCCUGGGUGAUCGAGCUGGAGGGGCUGUAGCUCAGCUGGGAGAGCACCUGCUUUGCAAGCAGGGGGUCAGCGGUUCGAUCCCGCUCAGCUCCACCAAAUCGAUUGGUGUUGAGACUGACGGCAUUUGUCUUUUGAAGAAAUAAAAGUUUUGCAUCGGCUUAGGCUGGUGCGUGUUCUGCAUACAUUGUGAAGAGAAGAUUGAUCUGGAGGCUUCCAGGUGUUGUGGGUUUUGCCCAUGAUGUCCGAGCCCGGUUCCUGUGAAACCAUGGAUGGCCUAGCCGGCCGGAUGUGGUGGAGGAAUUGGAGGUAGGUAGGAAGCUUGUCGCUCUGGAUCGUCAGCGUAAACCGCGUAGCGGUUUAUCGCGUGUUGUUCGUUGCCUUUGGGCAGCGUCUGACGGACGAUCGGAUUA